GACGUAGGGCGCGAGCGUUGUCCGGAUUUAUUGGGCGUAAAGAGCUCGUAGGCGGCUUGUCGCGUCGUUCGUGAAAACCUGCGGCUCAACUGCAGGCUUGCGGUCGAUACGGGCAGGCUGGAGUUCGGUAGGGGAGACUGGAAUUCCUGGUGUAGCGGUGAAAUGCGCAGAUAUCAGGAAGAACACCCGUGGCGAAAGCGGCUCUCUGGAACGGUACUGACGCUGAGACGCGAAAGCGUGGGGAGCGAACAGG
rnacentral:rRNA from 1 species